AUUAGAUACCCGGGUAGUCCCAGCCGUAAACAAUGUGCGUUAGGUGUGUCGGUAACCACGCGUUACUGAUGCGCCGAAGAGAAAUCGUGAAACGCACCACCUGGGAAGUACGGUCGCAAGGCUGAAACUUAAAGGAAUUGGCGGGGAGCACCACAACAGGUGGAGCCUGCGGUUUAAUUGGAUUCAACGCCGGACAUCUCACCGGAUAAGACAGCUGAAUGAUUGUCAAUCUGAAGGUUUUACAUGACUAGCUG
rnacentral:rRNA from 1 species